rnacentral:rRNA from 1 species
CCUACGGGGAGCAGCAGUAGGGAAUCUUUCUCAAUGGGCGAAAGCCUGAAGCAGCAACGCCGCGUGCAGGAUGAAGGUUUUCGGAUUGUAAACUCCUUUUAUUAGCGAAGAUUAUGACGGUAUCUAACGAAUAAGCACCGGCUAACUCCGUGCCAGCAGCCGCGGUAAUACGGAGGGUGCGAGCUUUACUCGGAAUCACUGGGCGUAAAGAGCGCGUAGGCGGGAUAGCAAGUCAGAUGUGAAAUCCUAUGGCUUAACCCUAGAACUGCAUUGGAAACUGUUAUUCUAGAGUAUGGGAGAGGUAGGUGGAAUUCUUGGUGUAGGGGUAAAAUCCGUAGAGAUCAAGAGGAAUACUCAUUGCGAAGGCGAGCUGCUAGAACAGAUCUGACGCUGAUGCGCGAAAGCGUGGGGAGCAAACAGGAUUAGAUACCCGGGUAGUC